UUGGUACGUACUAGUAUUAUUGGUUUCUCCCUUCUGAUGAAUCAUGAUGUCAUUAAUUUGAUGUCAUGGGGAAUCAGGACUGUUACUUUGAAAAAAUUAGAGUGUUUAAAGCAGGCUCGCGCUUGAAUACAUUAGCAUGGAAUAAUGAAAUAGGACGUUUGAUUCUAUUUUGUUGGUUUCUAGGAUCGACGUAAUGAUUAAUAGGGAUAGUUGGGGGCAUUAGUAUUCAAUUGUCAGAGGUGAAAUUCUUGGAUUUAUUGAAGACUAACUACUGCGAAAGCAUUUGCCAAGGAUGUUUUCAUUAAUCAAGAACGAAAGUUAGGGGAUCGAAGACGAUCAGAUACCGUCGUAGUCUUAACCAUAAACUAUGCCGACUAGGGAUCGGAUGAUGUUAAUUUUUUAAUGACUCAUUCGGUGCCUUACG
rnacentral:rRNA from 1 species